rnacentral:rRNA from 1 species
UACAGAGGGGGCAAGCGUUAUUCGGAAUUAUUGGGCGUAAAGGGCGCGUAGGCGGCCUGGUAAGUCGAUGGUGAAAUCCCCGAGCUCAACUCGGGAACUGCCGUCGAUACUGCUUGGCUUGAGUCCGGAAGGGGAGAGUGGAAUUCCCAGUGUAGCGGUGAAAUGCGUAGAUAUUGGGAGGAACACCGGUGGCGAAGGCGGCUCUCUGGGCCGGUUCUGACGCUGAGGCGCGAAAGCGUGGGUAG